CAGAGAAACAACCCAAGUACCUUCUCGCGGGAGCAAUAUCCACCAUGCUCCUGUCUCUGACCUGGGAUCCAGGUGCCCUGCAGCUAGGCUGUCUGUGGGGACACGGACAGAGGUGGCCACCUGAGAAGCUGGCACUAGACCAGUGUUAAAUACAGAUGAAGCUUCCUUCCUUUGAUAUAAUGAUGAAUCUGGCUUCUUGUGAGACACUUCCAUCACAGCAAGUGGAAAACGGCAAGUGUAUCCAAACAGAUAGAUGCAAUACUUGCCCUGGCUCCUUGGAUCUUUCAGAACAAGCAGAAAACGGAAAAUAUUCUCCUACCCUAGUAACUUGCUACAUCUUUCUCCAUGCCCUCUGUGACGUCUCAUCAGCAACCUCCAGUCUGUCCAGAAUGGUGUCAUCAGACUUUGGCUCUGUGGUACGAUGCAAAAGCAUAUUGUUCCCUCUCAUUCCCUACUGCACCGUGAAGCCAGCUUUGACUGCCUGUCCUCGUAUUUCCAGCUCUGCUCUGGGCUGGUAAAGCAUCUUUCUCAUGAGGGCACCCCUUAACAGGAUUAAGCAACUAUAUUAAAUCCAAAUUGAAUUGUGGACUCAUUGUACUUGCAUUUGAUUUCAUUACAGAUUGUAUUUGUUUCAUUUCAUUAUUUACUGCCAGAAAAUGAACAACCCUAUUUUAGCAGCAGGCAUGAGACUUUUGGAGCUGAGGCACAACCAGCCUAAAACGAGUUAGCCAAGUUCCAGACUCCAGAGACAAUAACAUGUCUAUAAACAAUCACUUACAUCAGAAACCAAUAGAUCAUUUUAAUACACUUGUGUUCAAAGUACAGGUCAGUGCACAAAACUGAUGAUAGUUAGAAAACCAGUGCACUCUUAUAGCCAAAGAUUUGGAUUAUAUUUUAAUUUGGUAAAAUCAAUAUCUACCUCGUAUUUCUGGAAGGAGAAGGCAAAGACUAAUGAAACUGACAACAUACAUUUUCUGUAAUGUUAUUGAGGUGUGAAUUAGAAAGAAGAAUGCUGUAAGUGUCUAUAACUCAUACAUAGCAUAUAUGAUCCUUUCAUCUUCUUUUACUGACUCAUUUAUUGCAGAAAUCAAUAUAAGGAACAAAUAAAUAUUUUCAGUAUUCUUCUGGCCAUUCUCACCAGUGUCUGAAAGUAGUGGUUAUCAAAACCUCCAAAAUAUUGUAAUAUUGCAAAAUACAAUACCUAUUUAAUGUAUGAACAAAAUAUCAGCUGGUUUUAAAUAUGCAAUAUUUACUACAAAGUGAACACUAAGAACAAUGGUAACUUUACACAAUGUCAACUGAAGUCUAAAACCAAUCUUUGUUGGUUUUACAAGGAGACUUGAUCAAGUUCUAGCUUCAAAUGAGUGACUUUGCCUAAAAUAUUUUACUUGCAGCUACUGACAAGAAACUGACGCAUCACAGCAAAACAACCCACAGUAUAGGCCAGGAGCCUGCUGGUUGGUAAUGCCUGAUGCCUAGAAAAAGAGAGGAACAAAUAAUUAGCUCAUUUUUUAAUUCACUGAUAAUUUUGGAACAGCAGCUUCUUGUCUCUAGUACAGGGGAAAUUCCCUGAAAACACAAUCAGUAAGAAAUUGCAUGAAAAUCACAAAUAAAAAUUAAAGCUAUUCGUUACUCAGUUCUACCAUCACUCCAAGUUCAGUUUAGAGGUCUCUUAGCCUGUGCUGCCUCAGGGAGGCUGCUGUAGGCCAUUAAUUGUUGCAAAGAAAAUUUUGUCCAAUCUGCAUUAAUAAAAGGUAUGCUAAACCUCCA